CUUUAUUUAACGCUGAAAGGACUACAUUACGUCAAGCACUCUUCUCACUCAAGAGAAUGUUCCAGGAUGAUGCUGACCUGGUAAUGGAGUUUGUUGCUAACCAAGGAAUGGACGCACUCAUCACUGUAGCAAGAGAUGCUGAUGCCACCUUUCAACAAUACAUACUGAAAGCUGUUGGUGAGAUAGUGGUGUAUGUUGAUGGAAUGCAUGGACUCAUCAGGUGUAAUGAGAUGAUACAGUGGCUAUACCAACUCAGCAC